UCGUGUGUGGCCAUCAUGAAGGACGCGGAGGGGGGCGUGUGCUGUGACCACACCACGGCGGAGGAUGGGCCCUCGGCGCCAGUCAUCAAGGAAAUUUCCUCCUUCCGCGGAGACGUUCGCAUCAGCUGGUCGCCUCCUGAAGAAGCCAAUGGCGUUGUGAGGAACUACAAUGUUUCUUGGGAGAGUGAGGACGCCGAUCCGGGACUCAGGAGUUUGAUGACGUAACUGAAGGAUUGGUUGUCGGUCUAGAAAAGUGCCAUACUUACACCUUCUCUGUGGCCGCUGGCACGAUCGUCUGGGGGAAUAAAUCGGAGACCAGAGAGGUGGAGGUUGUUAAUUACGUCGACAGCGUGACCUGCAUUUCUGGAGGCACAGACAGGGUUCUUGCUCAGUAGUACGAAUUCGCGACCCAGGAUUGCGGGUUCAACAUGCGGAACACGAACUGGAAGGUCAAC